CCUACGGGUGACAGCAGUCGGGAAUAUUGCGCAAUGGAGGAAACUCUGACGCAGUGACGCCGCGUAUAGGAAGAAGGUUUUCGGAUUGUAAACUAUUGUCGUGAGGGAAGAAGAUGACAGUACCUCAGGAGGAAGCUCCGGCUAACUAUGUGCCAGCAGCCGCGGUAAUACAUAGGGAGCAAGCGUUAUCCGGAAUUAUUGGGUGUAAAGGGUGCGUAGACGGGAAAUUAAGUUAGUUGUGAAAUCCCUUGGCUUAACUGAGGAACUGCAACUAAAACUGAUUUUCUUGAGUACUGGAGAGGAAAGUGGAAUUCCUAGUGUAGCGGUGAAAUGCGUAGAUAUUAGGAGGAACACCAGUGGCGAAGGCGACUUUCUGGACAGUAACUGACGUUGAGGCACGAAAGUGUGGGGAGCAAACAGGAUUAGAUACCCGGGUAGUC
rnacentral:rRNA from 1 species